AUUGAACGCUGGCGGCAGGCCUAACACAUGCAAGUCGAACGAGUGGCGGACGGGUGAGUAAUGUCUGGGAAACUGCCUGAUGGAGGGGGAUAACUACUGGAAACGGUAGCUAAUACCGCAUACCAUCGGAUGUGCCCAGAUGGGAUUAGCUAGUAGGUGGGGUAAAGGCUCACCUAGGCGACGAUCCCUAGCUGGUCUGAGAGGAUGACCAGCAACACGGGAACUGGAACCGGGUCCAGAUUCUUACGGGAGGCGGCAGGGGGGAAUAUUGCACAAUGGGCGCAAGCCUAAUGCGGCCAUGCCGGGGGUAUGAAGAGGGCCUUCGGGUUGUAAAGUACUUUCAGCGGGGAGGCGUUACCCGCAGAAAAGGCACCGGCUAACCCCGUGCCAGCAGCCGCGUAAUAC
rnacentral:rRNA from 1 species